AAAGCCUUGAUCCUCUGCCUUCCUUUUCUGUCUCUUAGCUGCUGUGUCCAAACUCAGAUAUCUAUAAAAUGUAGAAAUACUCUUAUCAAGAUUUUGGCAGAGCUGGUGCAAUUGCAUGCUGUAGAAAGUGCUCGGGUUAUACAGCGCCAUGUGAUCCUCAGUUGGUCUGUCUCUGGGAGGGCUUUAGCUAAUGGCACUGUAGCAAGAGCACUGCAAAGUCAGGACUGUAAAACAUUGAGUUGAAACUCUUGCCUAAAUUGUCGUCCAAUAAAACCCUUGACCUCGGGCAGGAAAUCCUGGUUCAGUUAAGAUCUGGCCAUGGCAUCAAUAGUUGCUGCUAGCAGGGGAAGGUGAGGAAAAGAGUCCCCCAGGAUGUGUACCUUGCAGUGCUGACCACAAAAAUAUAUGUUGCUUAAAUCGCCGUAUUUAAGCAACAUAGAGAGGAGAGCUGGUCUUGUAGCAAGCAUGACUUGUCCCCUUAGCUAAGCAGGGUCCACCCUGGUAUAUUUGAAUGGGAGACUUCAUGUGAGCACUGUAAGAUCUUCCCUUCAGGGGAUGGAGCUGCUCUGGGAAGAGCAUCUUAGUUCCAAGUUCCCUCCCUGGCAGCAUCUCCAAGAUAGGGCUGAGAGAGAGAGACUCCUGCCUGCAACCUCGGAGAAGCCGCUGCCAGUCUGUGAAGACAAUACUGAGCUAGAUAGACCAGUGGUCUGACUCAGUAUAUAGCAGCUUCCUAUGUUCCUAUAUUUUAAAAUGCUUGUCAGUCUUUCUGUCAGUCCUGUUGUGCACCCUAUGGACUAGGCCUCACCCAGAGAUGAAGCUAACCUAUUGGCAUAUUUUCUUCAUGGUUCUUAAAAAGCGUGCUGCUUGUUCUCUUGGGAGCUAAUGGCACCCAGCUGCCGACAGAAGAAAGCUUUAUUAAGGGGCACCUUGAAGAUAGUGGCCAGGAUCCAGGCGAAGCUAGCCAUGACAAAGCACCACUUAAAUAGGGCAAGUUAGUCAUGGCCUAGCCUAGUCCUAUGCACUUCAAUGGGACUGAGUUGUCGUGACGACCAAGUCCCACUGAAAUUAAUGGGUCGAAUUAAUUAAUGUUAGUCGGGAUUAACUUGCUUCAUUCAUUUAAAUCGGGCCUGCACAACAUAAGGUCCGGAUUUGGCCCACGGAGACUCUUUUGCUGGCCCCAGCGGUGGGCCCAAAGUUUUGUGGGGCCUGAAGUGAGGUGGAAAAUGCUGCCUUGCCCUCAUAGUCCUGGCGGGGGUCAGCCCCCUUUCAAAAUCAAACUUUGAAAGUUCAUGAGGGGCAAGGAGGAGGAGAAGCAGCCUUCUCAUCUCUCCUCAUACUGUGGUUAACUAAUAUUUGCUUUCGUUUAUAUUUAAUACUCUUAACAUCAUCAUUCAUGUGCUGGGCAUUUACCUCAGCCCACACAUACACACCAAGUCAUGGUUGGUUCUGGCCUACUGGGGUAUCUUGAGUUGCGCACCCCUGAUUUAAAUGAUGCUGAAGCAUGACUAACUUACUCUGGAUCCUGCCCACUGGCUGGAGAGUUUUAUUUAUUAAUUUUAUUUACAUUUGCACCCCGCUGUCCCUCCGAGGAGCUCAGAGCCUAUUCACAUACAUGCUUCUUUUUCUCCUCACAACAACCCUGUGAGGUAGGUUAGGCUGAGAGUUCAGUGACUGGCCCAGAGUCACCAAGUGAGUUUCAUGGCUGAAUGGGGAUUUGAACUCGGGUCUUCCCAGUCCUAGUCCAACACACUACGCUAUGCACCUCAGGCAUGCACAAUAAUGACCUUCAUGCUCUUGUGCCAUAAAUGCCUGUACUCUUACCUACCUGAGGUAAUUUUGCUUAAUAUAUAAUGAGCCAUGAUGGCUGGCAGAACUGUGGUCUGCUAUUCCAGUGUACCAUUCCUUCCUGCUGUCUGCGAGGACCAUGUUGUAGGCUGGCCUAGCAUGCAUGAGCCAUUGAGAUAAAUAAUUUAUAUUUAUUUAAUUUUACGUUUUAUAUCCCGCUCUUCCUCCAAGGAGCCCAGAGCGGUGUACUGCAUACUUAAGUUUCUCCUCACAACAACCCUGUGGAGUAGGUUAGGUUGCAAGAGAGGUGACUGGCCCAGAGUCACCCAGCAAGUCUCAUGGCUGAAUGGAGAUUUGAACUCGGGUCUCCCCAGUCCUAGUCCAGCACUCUAACCACUACACCACGCUGGCUCUUAAUAACUGCUUCCUGCAGCAGGGGGUAUCUAGCUUAUCCUGCCCUUCUAAGGAGCCCAGAGUAGUGUACAAAGCUCUCUCUUUCCCUUUUCUUUUGGAUUUGAACCCAAGUCUCCUUGUCUAACACGAACCUUUAGACCCCACACCAGUGUACCAACUGUUGUCCGAACCGUAACAUUGCUUGCAGAAAGCAAUUGGACACAGUAUUCAUACGGUGUUGAGUAUCAGUUCAUUUCUUAGCAUAAAGCUUUGUUCUGUGUGUGAGAAUCCUGAAAAUACAUAAAUUUAAAAAAAAAACACUUGGUUAGCCAUCCCAUAACAUUGUAACAAAAUGUGUUGUUAACUGCCCCCAUCACUAGCAUAGUGGUGAAAAGUCUAAGCUGUGAACCAGAAGCAUGUGGCUGAAAUCUCAUCUCUCUCAUGAGCUCUGAGGUAGUCUCCUGCAAGGUCUUGUUUCCAACUUCAGUGCCCCAUCCCUGCAAAAUAUGGGGAUACGGACUCAGACUUGCCUCACAGGAUUGUUGCAAACAUGAUAUUCCCUUCAGGGGAUGGAGCCGCUCUGGGAAGAGCAUCUAGGUUUCAAGUUCCCUCCCUGGCAGCAUCUCCAAGAUCGGGCUGAGAGAGACUCCUGCCUGCAAUCUUGGAGAAGCUGCUGCCAGUCUGUGCAGACAAUACUGAGCUAGAUAGACUCAGUAUAUAGCAGUUUCCUAUGUGACUUCCUAGUUCACACCACAGUCCCAUCACUGUUAUGCGACACCUUCUUCUUUAAAAAAGAACAGUCGCAAUAACUAAUUAAACUCAAAUUGUCAAUAUGCACAAAAACAUCAGAAGAAACGAGUGUGUGGAGCAGAAAACAUUAUCAGAAUGUCUCCUGAACCUUCAUGUGUCAAGGGGAGUGAGAAUCGGUGCACACAACAUAACUUUAUGGCAGAACAAUUAAUCAUUGUGGCCCAGAUAUAUAUAAAUCCAACUAGUAGCUACACUAUUUAUGUGUCUGGGAAGCUGCUGUGUUUGGUGGAACCAGUCGGAUUCAUGCUUGAAAAGUGAUCUUUCUCUCUCUCUCUUUUUUGAUAGGGAGGUUCUGUGGUUGCUGCAUCUGCAACAAUUUGGGCAGAGUGAUUUACUUCAGUCCUCUGCAUGUCAAAGUGAAUAGGAAACUGUACUGGUUCGUUAAUGUUUCAAAGUGCUAGGUUUAGGAAGUAACAUGGCAUGGGAUGGUUUUAAAUUUUUCAUAUGGAACUCUAGAUGGCCUAAGAUAAUGCUUCUCUUCCUUACUAAAGGUAAAGUUGUGCCUUUGAGUCGGUGUCGACUCCUGGCAACCACAAAGCCAUGUGGUUUUCUUGGGUAGAAUACAGGAGGGGUUGACCAUGGCCAGCCACCUAAUGGCGCAGUGGAGAAGAGAGCAGAAGGCUGUUAGUUCUAAACCCUGUUGGUGUGCUUCCCAGAACAUGGGAAACUCCUAUAUCAGGCAGCAGCAAUAUAGGAAGAUGCUGAAAGGCAUCGUCUCAUACUGUGUGGAAGCAGGCAAUGGUCAACCCCUCCUGUAUUCUACCAAGAAAACCACAUGGCUCUGUGGUCACCAGGAGUUGAAACCGACUCGACAGCAGAACCUUUCCUUUCCCCCCUUUACCAUUGCCAUCUCCUGCACAGUAUGAGAUGAUGCUUUUCAGCAUCUUCCUAUAUCACUGCUGCCCGAUCUAGGUGUUUCCCAUAGUCUGAGGAAACAUACCAGCGGAGAUUCGAACCGGCAACCUCUGGCUUGCUAGUAAAGUCAUUUCCCCGCUGUGCCAUUUACUUUCCUCACUAAGAUGUUUUUAAAUGCACUAUGCAGAAAAGCAGGGUUUAAAAACUGUGACAAAGAUUAUCUUGCAUGCUUAACAGUUUUAAUAAUAUAACAGUACCUGUACAAUUCUUUUUUCAGUGUACAGAAUGCUUCACGUAUAUCUUUAUGUCGUCGUUAAAACCACUCUGUAAGGUGCUCUAGAGACGUGAUGCAUCCUCCCACCCGCUUGAAGAUCUCACUUCUAGACACUCUGGGGAGGGAGCGGAAUCCUGAAGAAGGACAACUUUAGCAACUUAUGAAACAAAAAAUGAACAAGGCACCCGCCAGAGGCAAUCUGUGUGACUUACCAGGGACAACACCCAGAAAAUAGGGAUUGUCCCUGAUAAAUGGGAAACUCUCGGAGCCUGUGCCCCCCCGCCUCCAAUCAUAGUGUUGUUCUAGGAUGUUUGGGGAAGAAUUCUGUUCUGAAGUUAAUGUAGCAGUGGAUUUGGACUGUUUGCUGAAAGAAAUUGCAGAAGGCCAAUGCAUAAUUCACACACUCAUCACCCUUCGACUACUGAAAGUCUUGUGGCACGAGAAACUAAUUUGAAACCCUUUCUGUCCUAAUUGUGUCUACUCUGCAGUUCCCAAGUGUCAGUUUGUAAAACUUAGCAUUGGAGCUUCCAUCAUUUCCUUUUAAAGACGUGAAUUAAAUCUGGGUCAUUCCGUGUAUGUAGUUCUAAUAGGGCCAGGGCACAUCCACUUCCAGAGACCAGCAUCUGAGGGGAAGAAAUCGUGGGGUGUGUGGCAAUGUGGCAAUUUGGAGAGGAGAGCUGGUCUAGUGAGUCGAGGUGUGCACAAAUCAUAUUUUGCAAUUUGAUUUGACCUCUAAUCGAAUUGCAAACAAUUGAAUUGAUUUGUUGAACUGGCCAGCCAUAGCUGGCCAGUUUGACUAAUUGAAUUGGAAAUUUGCAAAAAUAAAUAAAUAAAUAAAUAAAAUCACGAAUUUUCCACAGGGAACAAUGGGGAACUCGAAUCACCCCAUUGUUCCCCAUGGUUGGUCCUAGGGGCACCAAAGUGGGUUGGAUAUUAGGGCAUGGCCCAACCUACCUCACCACCCAACCUACCACCCAACUCACAAAACAAUCGGGUGAAUUGCCAAUUUUUUUUACUAAGGGAGGUCGGUGGGGGGAGGGGGAACCUCCAUGGGACACCCCCCUAUCACUGCUGCCUCAGACAACUCUCCCGGAGGAGGUAAGUUGGGGGAUUUUUUUUUCAAGCCACGAACCGCCCUGAACCAAACCAGGGGGCGAGGGUUUGAGGGGGCGCCGGACCAAACUGGCCCUGUCCAGUUUGGACUCGAAUCAAACUGGACCAGCUGGUUCCAUGCAGACCUCUACCCACUGUGGCUGGGGUGGGGAAUAUGGGAGUUGUAGUCCAAAACCAGUUGGGGGGGCCUAAGUUGAGUAGGCCUGUUCUAAGGCAUGAGCAUGUGUGCGUGCACACAUAUUUUUGGAUGUCUGCUCAGUUAAUGAUAGAUCCCGCUCCAAUUGAAUCAGGAAGGUCCCAUUCUGAAUACACGUGCACGCACACUGCCUUGAUGCUGCCGCCCAGAACAAAACUCAUUCCGCACACAGAUGGAAAAAGAGAGAGAGAGAGAGAGAGAACACUGACUGAAUUACCAGUUAUAAAGGUGCUUCUUUGCCUGACGACUGGCAGGAUGCAAUGGCUAGCCAAAAGCCACACCGUUGGCAGGAAGCCAGCCCUCUAACCCUUCUGAGAAUCACCAUUAGGCAAAAGACUUCUGCCCGAGCCACGAAGGCGGCUUUUGCCAUGAUGGGAUCACUGAGCCUUUCCCUAGUGGGUGAACUGCAUUCCAUCGAGGACCCUGCACCUGACAUUUGUCAAGUGCCACCAGAGGGCGGCAUCCGUGUGCAUAUUUGGCGGCGCUGCUGUCUGCGAGGAGGAAGCUGCAGUCAUUGGCCUCACCCUGGCCCAACUGUCAGUGCUACGAUUUAGCUCCCCCUCGGCCCGCUGAAGGAGCAGAGAUGUGUUCUUCCUCUCCAACACGGCCUCCUUCUGCAUCUGAGCUCUCUCUCAAGCGGCCCUUCAUCUAUCAGCGCUGUAAGCCUGUCUCUGCAAAGUCAGCGAUUCAAUGAUCGCCCAGAGAAAGAGAUUGCGGAUUCUCUCCUCCAAUCAAGGGACAUCUAACCUUGCAACAGGGUGGAUGAUUUGCUAUUAGACAGCGUCCUCCUUUGACACUGACCUUUUUGUGGUCCCGCUCCUGGGACAAGUGAUACUGUGCGCAGGGUUCUAAUGUUGCGGCAUUCCAAGAAUUUAUUUGCACAUUCAUGUGGGCUUGAGUCAGACCCCUGGCUGCAAAGCAUGGGGCUCUUAGGGCCUGAUUAAAUAAUAGGGUGGAAGAGGGGUCUUUAUUCCAUUCAGUUGCCCUUGCUAAGUGAAAAAAGAGGCACCUUUUAAAAGUCGCGAUUCUUUUUUAUUUGAGCAGGGGGAGAGCAACUGGCCCUCUCCAACCCCUGCACAGCAUCCCUCCAGUGGCUGUUGCUGGGGUCUACCUUAUGUUUCUUGUUAGAUUGUGAGCCCACUGGGGACAGGGAGCCAUCUUAUUUGUUUAUUAUUUCUCUAUUUCUCUAUUUCUUUCUUUUUAUUAUUCAAAGGCAAUCCACACAAUUGGUACUUGGGUAGGAAAUGCAUCCUGCCCAGGUUUGGGAGCUGUGCAUGUUUACCGAUCAUGUGUGAGUAAAAUACAAGGAUGGGAGGGGAAGUGAUCAUCUGUCAAGCACCACCUGGGCGGGAGGGUUCUGUGCCACUCAGCAGCUGACCUCAGCUCCUUAAGGAGGCUGGAUGAAAAAAAGCCUGUUGUAAUUUGUGAUUGUUUAGUAAAGCACCAAGAGGAAGCUGCCCACUCCAGUUAUGAAGUGGUGCAGAACUUUAUGGCUGCAGUUAUUCAAAAACAAGCAUGGAUGAAGAACGUGUUUGUCCCUGCGGUUCUGGUGAGAUCGAAACAACAGCACACGUACUUUUGUACUGCCAAUAUUAUAACUUAUUUCCCCUGAUAUUAGCUUACAUCCAGGCUCUACUGACACGUUUAUUUGACCUUCCUUUUAGUGGAUCAGAAUGAUGUUAGGUCCUACAAUGUCGCCAAGUUUUGUCUCAUAGUUAAUAAAAUUUGGCUAGAGCUUAUCAAUUAGUUGUUUACUUGAGAGUUCUACCUUUUUGUCUUUUUUAAAAAAACUUAUAUACCGCCCAAACUUUCGUCUCGGGGGGGGGGAACAAUUGUUGCAAAUUACUUAGCUGAUUGUUAUUAUAGUUUAUCUCAUUCUGCUUCUAUUUCUUUUAGGGGUUUUUAUAUUUAGUCUUAUCUAAUUAGUUUUAAAUUUUAGUAGUUUGACCUACCUUAUUAUGCAAAUCU